rnacentral:lncRNA from 1 species
UGUCUUUCUCUUGUUCCUCUUUCUUGGAUUUUGCAAACCGGCUUGGAAAAGGAGGAGGUAUCACAAUAGGUAGGGGUUUCGCUCUGGUGGGUUGCGCAUCUUGAGAUUUAGGCAUCAAUUCAUUCUUCUCAAGCUCAUCUUCUACAUGCUUUGUCACUUUCUUACUAGGCUCUUGCAACUCCUUCCCACUUCUAAGGAUGACAGCACUAACGUUUUGCUUUGGAUUCACUUCAGAUUGUGAAGGAAAUCUCCCUAAUAGUUGAGACUCCAGACGGCUCACUGUAGUCGCCAAUUGACUCAUUUGGUUCUCCAAGUUCUGAAUGCUUGUUGUAGUUGCCUGCUGAAGUUGUUGAGUGUUAGUCACAAGUGAUUUAACAAUUUCUUCAAGAGAUAUACCUGACUUGGAGUUUGACUGUGGAGGUGCUGGUUGUCUUGGUGGAUACUGAUGUGGGAAUCCUGACGGCCUAACUCUAUAGUUGAAGUUGGGAUGAUCCUUCCAUCCUGGAUUGUAUGUUUGUGCAUAAGGAUCAUACCUCCUCUGAGGCAUGCCUGGAAAUCCUCCAACUGCAUUGGCUUGUUCAACGGGUUCUUCUUGAAGUGUAGGACACAUAUCAAUUGAAUGACCCAUAUUGUAACAAAUGCCACAAGUCUUCACCUGUUGCACAUUACCUACAACAAACUUUUCCACAAGAGAAGUAAGUUUAUCUAAACAUUGUUCAACAGAAGAAAUAUUUACCUCAUUCACCUUCCUUGAAGUAGGAUCUUGCCUGCUGCCAAAUUGUUGUGCAUUGGCAACCAUAUUUGAGAUCAACUCCCUUGCUUGAGUAGGGGUCUUGUUCACCAACAUACCUCCACUAGCAGCAUCUAUCAUACUCCUAUCCAUUAAUGACAGUCUUUCGUAAAAAUAUUGAAUAAGAAGUUGAUCAGAAAUCUGAUGCUGAGAAUAGCUGGCACACAAUUGUUUGAAUCACUCCCAAUACUCAUACAAAGUCUCCCCAGGAAGUUGUCUGAUCCCACAAAUGUCUUUUCUGAUGUUGGCAGCUCUUGAAGCAGGAAAGUACUUCUCAAGGAACUGCUUCUUCAAACCAUUCCACGUUGUAAUCGAUCCAGGAGGCAAGUAGUACAACCAGUCUUUAGCUAGCCCAUCUACAGAGAAUGGAAAAGCACGCAGCUUAAUCUGCUCUUCAGUCACGCCUUGUGGCCUCAUACUUGAACACACAACAUGAAACUCCUUGAGAUGUUUAUGAGGAUCUUCACCUGCAAAACUAUGAAACUUGGAUAAUAAAUAAAUAAGACCAGACUUUAAUUCAAAAUUUACCUCCAAGUCUACAUAUUGAAUGCAGAGUGGUUGCUGAUUCAAGUCUGGUUCAGCUAACCCUCUAAGAGUUCUUUCUACAGGUGCAGCUCUAUCCAUCACUUGUUCUUCUGAAUCGCUAGAUGAUUCAACCAAAUUAGGCACCGUAUCUAUUUCAGAAAGCAAAGGCGACGAGGAUCGUUGCUUAGCUCGCUUCGUCUGUUGUCUCAGCUGGCGAGCUGUCUUCUCAAUUUCAUGAUCAAACGAAAGUGUACCUGUACGAGAAGAACGAACCAUACACCAAGUAAAACGUAAAAAAGAUUAAAUAAAUGACACCAAUCCCCGGCAACAGCGCCAAAAUUUGAUGGUUGUCGAAGCCAGUAAAAAUAAAUACAUACUCUAAAUAAAUUGUGUAUAGUAAUUGAGCAAGGUCGUGUCCACAGAGAUCGGUAAUUAUUGAAAUCCUUUUAAAACGUAAAACAUAAAAUGAGGGUUUUGUUGACAAUAAUAAAAAUCAAAUUAAAAUAACAAGAAUGCAAAUUAAAGUCGUAAUUUAAAUUGGAGAAAGCUCUGAUUGAAGGAAUUAACUCAGCUUGAUUCGACUACUGAUCAUUGAUUCAAAUAUAAAUUAUUACUACUUAUGAAUAGACCGGUUAUAGCUACUGAGACCCUCUAAUAGCCAAUCUCUCCUUAACUAGUCGAUAACCAAGGUACGACCGUUGGUUAUUUCCCUAAUUAAUAGACAACCCUAGAUACGAUCAUAGGAUUUAAUCAAUUGACAGCCUGAAAAAUCAGAGAGACCCAAAUCAUAAUCAACAAACGCAUACGAUGGUUUAUUUAAAUUAGAUUGUUUAUUCUCACAACACAACUCUCUGCUAUGUUAUUUGUCACAAACAUUAAAAUCUUCAUACGAUGAAUCCUUUAAUUGACAAUAGAUUAAGUUGAUAAUUAAAUAGUGGCCAAUUACCUAAUUAACAAACAUAAUCAUGAAAAUAAUUCAGAGAAUAAACAAAUACCCAAAAAGCAAUAAAACAAUUAAAGCAUAAGAAAGAUCUCAUAGUAGUGAUGAAUCAAAGCUUCCUUAACCUUCAACCAGAAUAAUAGGUUUAGUUCUUCAUAGAGAGAAGAGAAAAGUUUAGAUCUAGGGUUUCUUUCUUUUCUAAAAAGUCCCAUUUUUCACAAUAGAUUCCACCCUUAAAUACUAUCUCUCUCUUCUCCUCUAGAGUUCUAUUUAAAAUAAAAUACUAAUAUCUGAAAUAUUAAAUUCGUAAUUACAAAAAUAACAAAAAAUACAAAACACGUUAAACUAAAAAUUACAAGUCCGUAGUUGACAGCACGUGCCCACGCCUUAUCAACAAAGUUCUUCUGACGCUCAUAAUUUCUCCAAAAAAAACAAUCAUCCUUAAACAUCAUCUUGUAACUCAAUUUUAUCACCAAUCAAUAGAAUUGCACCUAUAAAAGUAAAACACAAGUAAAUCACUAUUAUUAAGUGCAAAACAUCGAUAUUAAGGGAAGUAAACAAUACAAAACUAGUGCAUAAAUUGCACUCUAACAUCGGCCCUCCCAUAAUCAUCAUUGCCAUAUUGUCUCUUAUGUCCCCUCUUCUCCCAUCUUUUCCUUGAUCAUCUACAUACUCCUUUAGGUAUUGAUUAUGCACUAAACACUCAAUCUACUCUUUCAAGUCUAUGCAAUCUACGAUUCCAUGCUCAGACACCUUGUGAAACUCACAAUACUUAUGGUGAGCACUUCCGCCCAAGCCCUCUAUAAUCGGCUUUGGCGGGGUUAGUAAUCCCUUAUCUUUUAUUGCAACAUAUAUUUCUACUUUGCUAGUAUUCAGAGGAGUGUAUCUCUCACCCUGCUCUACUAAGUUCACCCUAAGGUUAGAUUUCGAUACUCUCCAGUCUAUAGGCAGCGACAAUCUGUUGUACUCUCUUACUCGAUUCUUAUGUUGGUUCCUCUUAUAGUUAUUUCAUUUCUUUCGGCCCCCUACCAACUAAUGAGAUUUCUCUUCUUUCAUGAUUUAUUUCUCAAUCUCGAGCCGGCCUCUCUGGUCAUCUGUAAUUGAACAUUCCUCCGUCAUAAUGAUGCCUAUCAUCCAUGUUCCUCAUCAAGCUAUACCCAAGGUUAUCUUCUCUCCUUCUUAGCUCGCCCAUUCUCACUGGACCUUCUCUCUGCUCUUCUAGUUUCCUCUUUUCUUCCUCUACAUCUUCAGUUUUCAUAUCCAAUUUUGCUUGGUCGUUUGCCUCAGUGUACGUUGUUAUCCUUUUACUAUAUAAGUUAUUCCACAAUUGAUUUAUUCUCAACCCUUCCUUUCUUUAAUCCUUUUAGGGCAUUCGGAUGAUCAAAGGCCCCUAAAUCGAUGACUUCUUUAUGAUACCUAGUCUCGAAGCUCCUCAAACUUUCAAAUUCUCUUUGGACCAAUUUUUUCAACCUGUUUGUAUCCUGUUCUGGUAUGCACGAACCUCUAAAAUGCACAAUGAAAAGCUCACAUAACUCUUUGAAAUUUCCUAUGCUUCCCUUCUUUAAUCUUUGUUACGACUCUCGUGCCUGUCUUUCUAGAGUUAAGGGAAAAAGACGACACCUUUGAAAAUCAUUCAAACCUUGAAUCCCGAUCAUCUCAUUAAACCUCUCCACAUGAUGAUUCGAGUCAAUGUUUCCUUCAUACACCACGGUUGGAACCACAUACUUGGGUGGCAAAGUUGCCGCCAUCACCUUAGUUAUCAAGGGGUACUCGUCAUCAAGUAACAAUCUUCCUACCACUUUCUUACCCUCCGUUUUCGCCUCUAAUGCCUCUAGGAUUUUUUGAAAUUGCAACAUUCUCUGCUCAAGCUCAUUUGCCCGUUGGGGGUUUCUCAGCUCUUCUCUCUUUCUUUCAUGAUUCAGGUCAUUGAUUCUCCUCCUCAACUCAUUCACUUGUUCUCCUGCACUUCUGUUAUCCUAUUGUACCCCAACUUGUGGUACUCCUAUUCUGCUCUGCUGUUGACCACCAAGCUCUUCCCUCUCUCACACUCCACUACUCUCUGGAUCACUAAUUCGAACUUGACGCCCUCUGACUUGGGCAUCAACCAACCCCUUGAUCAUCUCUUCAAAUCUUGCCAUUUGCCUCUCGAUCUAUUCUCUUCAUCACUUAUCUGCCGUGGCAUUCAUUUCCUCCGCCAAUUGGCACAAGGUCUGCAUUUCUCCGUCAUUAUCAUCCAUCACUGUUUCCUAAUCUAAUAGUCUUCUCCCUCUAAAUAUUCAAAUGUAUGACUUUUUCGUAUGGUUCCUCACAAACAGCGCCACGAUGUUGAUGCCAAAAAACGACAUCAACAGAUGAAUGUUUUCUUUGGGGAAUAACAACAUGAAUUCAAGCUCAAACGUCAGUCUGAUCACAACUUUCUAUACCUGCCAACCAGAAAACACGGUUAGGAUACGUUGGUGGGGUUCCAGCGUAGACCAUCCGAUGCUUAAGUCAGAAAUUGUAUAUAAGGAAAGAAAAACGGGAAGGAAGAAUUGAGAAUAAGUUAAAAUCAAGGAAUUUUUCCAACAGAGGUGUUGAAAGUCUUGUAGGAAAUAAAGAGGCUUUUAGAUAAGUGACUUGUAGAAUUUUUGGUUGAUUUUCCUAACCCCCUCCUUUGUUGCCCUCUUCAGCUUAAAUAGGCCCUUUGUCAUGGGCGGUUACCACCUUAAUUUUAGCCCACUUUCUUCAGCAGUUGCAAGUGCUCAUUAAUUGGAGGUGGUUUAACAAAUCGUGGCAUACAACUUUCCUAAAAAUUAGGCCACGUUAUCUCGAUUAGUAAUUUUCCAUCUCAAGUAGUUCUCAGGUCAGACAAAUGAAUUUCCAGGUCAGACUAUCUUACUUCCAGAUCAGAUUGGUGAAUUUUCGAGUCGCUCAUAUAGGCUUAAAGUUGUAUUCUUAAAUUAGGUCGUUUGCAUAAACCUCGGGUUGUACUUGUAAAUCAGGUCGCCAACAUAGGCUCCAAGUUGUACUUAUGAGGUUUGCUCAACGGUAAUAAAUUCUGAGUAAAUUAAUGCUGACUCUAUUCUAGAUGCUAUCAGAAAAAUCCAACCCAAACACCAAUUAAUCCAACCCUUAAAUCAUUGGAUUGAUUAAAAUUAAAAAAUUAAAAAAACUAUUUGUUACUUAAAAUCAAAUUCGUAGAUGAAAAAUAUAUAUUAAUUUUCCAUCAUAACAUUAAAUGUUAUCCAUUGUAUCUAACAUUUAUUAAUAAAUAACAUGGCACAAUAUUUGAAUAUUUAUCAACUUACUUUCAGUGAAAAUGGUAAGUUUAGUUAUUUAUAGUUUAAUAGCGAAUAGUUGACAUUAGUUUUUUUUUAUGAUUUUUAGAAAUUUUGGGUUGGGCUAAACUAUAUAAGAAUAAUUGAUCAAUUGAGCUGAAAAUUUUGAAAAAAAAAAUUGAUCCAAUUAACUCAUUAUAACAUAAUCAAUCUAUGUCAAUUUAAUUGGAUUGAGUUGAAUUGGAUUAGGUCCAUCAAGUUAAAGUUGGGUUUACUCACUCUAAAGGCAGUUUGUUCUGAAAGUCAAGUGUUACGGUGUGUUUGGGAUUGAUAUUAGGCAAUUGUACUUUAAAAGUUACAGCACUAAAGUAUUUAGUAAAACUAGCUGCUGUAGCUUGUAAGCUAUAUUGAUAUAAUUUUUUACUUGUAUAAUGAAAAAUAUAUUGUAUCUUUAAUAAUUUUGUCUAAUUAUUAUUUAAAAUUUAUAUUUACAAUAUAUUAUUAAUUUUUAUUUGAUAGUUUCAACUUUUUUUCCACAGCAGCUCAAUUCCGAACGGGACCUUAAUCUAUAGCAUAUUAGUCUAGCUUUAUAAAUUUAUUAGAUUACUUAUUUUGACUCCCUUAUUUGGAGCUAUCCUAUUGUAGGCAUGAUGUGGCAUUGUAAUGUCAGUUAGUAUUAUUUAAUUAACAAAAUUACUCUUUAAAAAAAUCAAAAUCAAAAUUUUAAAUUUUAAUAAACAAGAAGAAAUUAUGUUAUUGAAUGUAUACAUGUAGCGAUUAUCCAGAACAAUUUUUGAAUUUUGACGAAUCUACACUCUAGAUUUUUUACUUAAUAAAUAUUCUUAAUUUGGAUCCUUUUUUUAUAAGACAAAAUUAUUGGUUUGAAUGUAUUUAUUCCAGUUCAUUACAUAAAUUGCUAAUCUUUUAACCAUUUUGGGAAAGUGAAUUAAUUUUGGACGCAUAAAAAAAAAAACAAGGGCUUCACCCAUUUCCACAUCAUCAUCCAUCUCUACCAGUCUUCUCCAAUAGAUUCAAUUUUCUUAUGUUCUUAUUCUGAANNNNNNNNNNNNNNNNNNNNNNNNNNNNNNNNNNNNNNNNNNNNNNNNNNNNNNNNNNNNNNNNNNNNNNNNNNNNNNNNNNNNNNNNNNNNNNNNNNNNNNNNNNNNNNNNNNNNNNNNNNNNNNNNNNNNNNNNNNNNNNNNNNNNNNNNNNNNNNNNNNNNNNNNNNNNNNNNNNNNNNNNNNNNNNNNNNNNNNNNNNNNNNNNNNUUUUUAUUCAUUAUCUUGCACUAAUAAAUAAAAAGAUUAAACAAAAAUACAUGAUUGCACGUAUAUAUAUAUACUUACUUGGUUAUUUUAUUUUUCUUUUGUUGGAUUAUUAUUGGCUGUGAACGAAGAUUUGGAACAAGAUUUAAACACUGCAUGCCGCAUGGGAAAACGAGGACCUUGUUUCCAUUGUGGAACUGAAAGUGAGUUUUUUGUUCUAUUAUAUUAAUUAAUUUAUCAUUUCAUAAAUUACGGCUUUUAUUAUGUAUACAUGAUUAUGUAACAGUCGUUUGAUGAAUUCCAUUUAACGAUUGUGAAAAUAAUAUAAUUUUAUCUUAUAUUUUCACAACCGUUGGAUGAAGGCUGCUACAUAAUAAUAUAUGUAUACCCCAUAAUGAUUAUGUAACAUAAUAAUCUCCAUAAAUUUCAUAUAAAUCCAUCGGUCAUUUUUAAGUACAGAUACCCGUAAUUUUGUAUCAUAGUGCUAACUCGGCAGUUUAUGAAGUGCGGGCGUUCAUUUGGGUGCCUAAAUGGGCAAAAUCAAAACCACGUCGUUUAGGAUUUUGCAUGUUUCGGCACCAACUUUGGACAAACCAGCUUUUUUAAAAAAAAAAAAUUAUUUAAGAUAUGUGUGUUACUGAGUGAUACAAGGAGUGAACAGGGACUCCACUUUGGCGAAAUGGACCCCCUGAGAAGCCAGUGCUUUGCAAUGCGUGUGGAUCAAGGUACAGGCUAAGAGGAACUCUUAACAACUAUGCACCAAAGCAUCUUCAAAGUGCUUUUCCAUUAAAGAAGAAGAAGAAGAAGAAGAAGAAGCAGGAAAGCAAAAUGAUUCUGAUCAAUAGUUCCAGAACUGAAGAGAAAAUUUAUGAUGUUUCAAGCAGCAGCUGCGAUGAUGUAUAGUACUGUAGCUUCAGAAGGUUGUGAGAGUAAUAUUAAUGAUGGGUCAAGUUCUUCAGAAUCCACAACCAUUUCUUGCACUGAGGCUGGAAGCUGCUUUGAAAUUAAUAAACGCGAGGAGGGAAGCCAGCCACCAGGUAAUUUAUUUACAUAAACAUUUUCCGAAUUUUGCAACUAAAGGGGUUUUGUCACUAUCUUAACCCAAGCUCCUCCUUAUUUGUCGAAAUUAAUCAUUUUUUUGCUCAUGUUUUAAAACCCACCAACAGUAAUACAAUAUAAUUUCUCUAUCACUUAACACUGGAUUUAAAUUGGAAAAAAUGACCGUUAAAAGAAUAUUAUCAGCAUCAGAGGGGUUCUAGUGGUUUAAUAUAUGACGGAGAAAAUAAUUAAUGAAUCUCACCAAAAUAGAGAGGGAUUUUGGUCUUUUUCCCCAGUUUGCAAUAUUAAUAUAGACAGAAGCACUGAGUUUAAUGGUGAUUAAAGCCCUUCAGGAUUCGAUUAAUUAUUUUAACUCUAGGGAUUUUAACAAUUGGACUUGUUAACAUGCACAAAUAGCAGUAUGCUCUAAGUGGACAAGUUUAUUGUUUGUAUUUUCGUAUUUAUGCAUUGCGAGCAUAUUUUUUGUCAACAACUUUAACAUAUUUCAUAUUUAUAAAAGUGCAAUGAGUGAAGAAGAACAUCAAAACACAAUUUUUCAAAUGUAUGAUCAUAGUACAUACCAAAUGAUCAUGAUUUUAUUUCAAAUGAUGAUGAUAUUCUCUAAUGGUCUAAUUGCAUGCAUGCAGGUGAAAUCCAACAGAGUUUGUGGGAUGUUCAUAUUCCUUCAAGAAAAAGAUCCUUAGUAGUCUACCAAAGUCUUUCACCAAUUGAAAGGCUUCAAAGAGACCUUAAAAAAAUUCUAAGGCAUCAUCAAGAUCCCAAUUCUAGUAUUAUUUCUGAAUCUCAAGAUGGUGUCCUCCUUUAUAAUCUCAACAACCAAAUUAUCUAUCGUUCCGAAAUUAGUCUCGGAACCAUUCUUCUCAAAUAAUUAAUAUACUAUUUUAGAUACAUAAGCGGUUGUUGGUAUGAAAGAAAAUAAUAGAAAAUUAAAGAGCCAUGCUUGUAAAAAAAAAAAAUAUUGUAAUUUGAUGUCAUUUUAUUUUUGUAAACAAGAAUUGUUUGAAAUGUUUUACAUAUGCAGUGUUCCUUUUAAGUUACUUUCAGAUUUGGUUUCUUUUUGUUCCUCAACUAAUAAAUUGCUAUUGCCUAUUUGUGGCUCUAAUGAAUAUAUUCAACUCCUUUAAAUGGUAUGGUGUGGCCAACCAGCAGCUUAUUAGCUUUCAGAAGUGAAAAUUACUUGGCAUGUAUAUCCUAUUAAAUUUUACACACGCGUGCACUUUUGUUGUUGCAAAUUUAAAAGACAAGUUUCCCGAGAUAAACUUAAUAACUUAUUACUUUAAAUGAAAACACAUUAACAAUUAGGAAAAAAAAAAGUUUUAAGUAUUAUUAUAUGUCGAUGAAUCCAUAAUAUAUGAGUCAUAAAAUUCUGUUGGGUAUAAGAGGCUUAGCACACAACUCUGUAGAAUUGCAGAAUAAUUCUCAUAUUAUUCAAAUGCAAAACGAUUAGCUUAUAGCCUUACAAAAGCAAGGGAAGAAAAUUGAAAAACAAACUACCCAUUUUCCACUCUAACAGAUCGUGAAUCAUGGAGAAGAAAUAUUUAAACUAACAGUUACUUUCCUAGUAAAUAGGAUUUAUUUAAGGCAAUAAAAUAACUAAAUCUGAUGACUCAACAUAUCCUCCUUUAAACUAAUUGCACAAUUGCAAUUAGUUUAUUCCGGUACUCUACACAUCCCAAGUCCUUCACGAAGUGCUUCAAAUACUUCAAGCUUUAACGGUUUUGUCAUGAUGUCUGCUAUCUGGUUUUGAGUGCUGCAAUACACAAGCUCCACUGUUUCGUCUUUGGUCAGGUCACGGAGAAAAUGAAAACGGAUAUCUAUAUGCUUGCUUCUGCCAUGAAGUACUAGAUUUUUGGAUAGCUUAAUGGUCGAAUUGUUAUCACAGUGAAUAACAGUGCUUUCAUUUUGAGCAUGACCAAGUUUUUCAAGAACGCUUCUCAUCCAAACUCCUUGACAAGCACAAGAGGCAGCAGUUAUAAACUCAGCUUUAGUUGUAGACAAUGUGACCACUGGUUGCUUCUUAGAGGACCAUGAAACUGCACAGGAACUGAGCAUAAAAACAUGCCCUGAUGUACUCCUUCGAUCAUCUAAGUCCCCUACAUAAUCACUGUCAGUGAAUGCUUCCAACUUGUUUGUUCCAUUCCUCUUGUAUUGCAGUCCUAAAUUCAUUGUUCCCCUAAGAUAUCUGAGCACCCUUUUUACUGCUUGCAUAUGUAACUCUGUCGGGCACCCCAUGUAGCGGCUCACUAAACCUAGAACAUACAUAAGAUCAGGUCGUGUAGCUGCCAAAUACAUCAAGCAGCCAACAUCCUGUUUAUACUCAGUUUCAUCAACUUUCACUCCAUUCUCAUCCUUAGUCAACUUGCAUCCAGGAAUAAUAGGAUUUUUAGAAGGAUUGCUCUCUCUCAUUCCAAACCUGUCCAAUACCUCCUUUGCAUAUUUUUUCUGACUAAGAUAAAUCCCAUUUUCAUUUUGAACUACCUCAACUCCAAUAAAAUAACGCAUCUUGCCCAAGUCAGACAUAUCAAACUCCUUUUCCAUAGAUUUUUUAAAUUCUUCAAACAUACUCUCAUUAUUACCAGUAAAUAUGAGAUCAUCAACAUAUAAACUAAUAAUGAGAAUAUUACCUCCUUCACUUUGUUUCACAAACAAAGUAUGUUCAUGUGGACACCUUUCAAAGCCUUGUUUGAAUAAAUAAGCUUCAAUUCGACUAUACCAUGCUCGGGGAGCCUGUUUGAGCCCGUACAAUGUUUUCUUCAACUUAUAAACCUUCAGUUCAUCUCCUUUCUUCACAUACCCUUGUGGUUGAUCAACAUAGACUGCUUCAUUGAGUUCCCCGUGCAGAAAUGCACUCUUCACAUCUAAUUGAUACACAUUCCAGCCUUUUUGAGCAGUAAGAGCAAUCACCAUUCGAAUGGUGUCCCAACGGGCCACUGGAGCAAAAACUUCCUUGUAAUCAAUCCCAUAUUGUUGAGCAUAGCCUUUAGCCACAAGUCUGGCUUUGUACUUCUCAACAUCUCCAUUUUCAUUCAACUUUGUCUUGAAAAUCCAUUUGACUCCAAUGGUUUUUGCCCCAACAGGUAAGGUGGUCAAUUCCCAAGUGUUAUUUUUCUCAAUUGCUGCCAUUUCUUGAUCCAUUGCUUUUCUCCAUCGAGCACUUUUGUUUGCUUCUUCAAAUGUGGUUGGAUCGGCUACAGAUGUAAAAAGCACAAAAUUGGUUAGUUCUUCCUCUUCAGACAAACCUUCUCCACUUACAAAAUCUUCCAUCCAAGUGGGUUGGUUCCGUGUCCUCCCUACUUCCUGAUCUUCCCCCAAAGAUUGGCUUAAACUUGAUGAAUCAUUUCAGGCAGCUUCAUCACCUUCUUCUUCUUCAAUUUCAAAGGUAUCAUCAUUGCUUUCUUCUUCACUUUCUCCCCAAUCUAACACAUCCAGCUUUGCUGCUUUAGUACUUCUUCCCUAAUCCCAGCAUUUGUCUUCUUCAAAUUCAACAUCUCUACUAAUCACAACUCAGUUUGUUGAAGGAUCAUAGAGACGAUAUGCUUUGGAUUUUGCACUCAUUCCUAGCAUGACACAUUUGAUGCUUUUAUAGUCAAGUUUCUUCCUCUUUGCUUCAGGUACCAAGACAUGAGCAACACAGCCGAAUACUCUGAAAUAGUGAACUGUUGGUUUGUGAUUGCUCCAUGCUUCUUCCGGCGUCUUGUCUUUAACUACUAAUGUUGGACUUCGAUUAAGAACAUGAACAGUCCAAUUAAUUGCUUCAGGCCAAAAACAUUUUGGAACACUCUUCUCGGACAGCAUGCUUUGAACCAUAUUCAUAAUGGUUCGAUUUUUCCUCUCUGCCACUCCAUUUUGUUAAGGGAUAUAGGCUGCUAUUAAUUGUCUGUUUAUGCCAUGUUCACUACAAAAUGCAGUAAACUCAUGCGAGGUGAAUUCUCCUCCCCUAUCUGUUGAAGUCCUUUAAUGGAGCAACCUGUUUCUUUUUCAACAGAACUUUUAAAGAUUUUAAAAGCUUCAAGUGCGUGAGAUUUCUCAGAUAGAAAAGAAACCCACACCUUUCUACUAUAAUCAUCAAUGAAAGUGAUUAGAUACCUUUUUCCACUACUUGAAGCAGGUGUGAUAGGUCUACAAAGGUCAGAAUGCACCAAUUGUAACUUGUGUGUAGCUCUCCACAAGCUUUUCUUUGGUAUUGAUUUCCUGUGUUGCUUCCCUAUCAUGCAAUCUAUGCAUAGCUUACUCAACAUCUUCAUUACAAGUAACCCCUUCACCAUCUCUUUAUGCUGCAAGGUUUUCAAUCCUUUGAAACUGAGAUGCCCAUAGCGACAAUGCCACAAAUGUGUGUUAUCCUCAGAAAUAGCUUGAAAGCAGGUUGAGUUUGUAGGCAACUUGGUCACUAGGAUGACAAACAUUCUGUUGGUGGACAUUGUAGUUUGCAUGAUCAACCCUUUCCUAGGAUGAUAAACUCCACACACCCCAUCUUUAAUUAAUAUUGUAACCCCUUUUUCUUGUAGUUGUCCGAUGCUUAGGAGGUUAUUUUUUAAUUCUGGCACAUAAUACACAUUUGUGAUGACUUGCGUAAUUCCAUUGACUUGAAAUUUGACAUUACCUCUUCCUUUUACUGCCAUCUUUGUGUCAUUGCCCAACUUCACUGAUUGACGAAAUUGUUCAUCAAUAUCAGUGAACCAUUCCUUGCUUCCGCUCAUGUGAUUACUGCAUCCCAAGUCAAGAAACCAAGCCUCUUUAUUCUUGUCAUCAUUGGAGUCAGCAUAUGCCAUCAAAAGCAUUUCUUCACUUUCAUCUAAUUCUGUAUAAUUGGCACCUCCUUCCCAUUGAGGACAUUCAUAUUGAAAAUGUCCUAAUUUGUGACAAUUGUAGCAUUCCACCAAAGAUUUGUUGAAUGGCUGUCUACCUCUUCCUCUUCCUCUACCUUGAAAGCCUCAUCUUCCCCUGCCCCUUGCUCCACUUAUGUCUUCAUGUGUCACCUUAAGAGCUUGCUCUUCUACUGAAGGAGUUUGCAUCCUUUGCUCAUGAACAAGUAAACUACUCUGAAGCUCAUCGAUGCUCAUUGUGGUGAGGUCGUGAGAUUCUUCAAUAGAGCAGACUACAUAGUUGAAUUUUGAAGUCAUUGAUCUCAAAAUCUUCUCGAUAAUAACAAUUGGCUUCAUAUCUUCACCCUAAGCUUUCAUUUUAUUAACAAUGGUUAAUGUCCAACCAAAGUAUUGAUCUACAGUUUCUCCUUCCUUCAUCUAAAGUAUCUCAAAUUCUCUGCGAAGUGCUUGCAACUGAGCUCGUUUCACCCGUGUAGUUCCUUGAUACUUCUGCUUCAUUGACUCCCAAAUGCUCUUGGAUGUCUCCUUAUUGAGGAUGGUUUCAAUGAUGGUUCUGUCAAUGGCUUGAAACAGGUAAUUCUUCACUUUCAGAUCCUUGAGUUUUGCCUCAUCAAUGGCUUUGCGCUCUGCUAUUGUAGGUUGAGCACCAUCUGCAACUGUGGGAAUCCCAAUUUCUAUCAAGCUCCAGUAUUCCUUCGAUCUCAGAAAAUUCUCCAUCAACAUUGACCAACGGUCAUAAAAACCAUCAAAGCGAGGUAUGGAAGGUUGAACAAAGCUAUUCUCUGUUGCCAUAACAAAAGAACUUCUUUCAGAAUAUUGUCUUGACACUCAAACUCGUGUUUUACUCUUCUGCAAUAUCAAUCUCACUAAGAAAGCUGCAGUUCCUUAGGCUCUGAUACCAGUUUUGUUGGGUAUAAGAGGCUUAGCACACAACUUUGUAGAAUUGCAGAAUAAUUCUCAUAUUAUUCAAAUGCUAAACGAUUGGCUUAUAGCCAUACAAAAGCAAGGGAAGAAAACUGAAAAACAAACUACCCAUUUUCCACUCUAACAGAUCGUGAAUCAUGGAGAAGAAAUAUUUAAACUAACAGUUACUUUCCUAAUAAAUAGGAUUUAUUUAAGGCAAUAAAAUAACUAAAUCUGAUGACUCAACAAAUUCAACUUAAAAUUUUAAUAUAAAUUUUGAACUAUUGAAAUCAAGCAAUUUAAUGGUGAAUGAAUAACCAUCAGUAAAAUGCUACUUUGAAUUUCAAUAUCUUUCAUUGGAUUACUUGAAAUUAAUGAUUAAAAAUUUAUGUCAAAAUUUCAAUAUCUUUCUUCUUAUAUCUUAUAUGAUUGGCACCCGAAGCACCCAAUAACAAUACAGAUUUUCCAGAUAAAAUACUCGCAAAACCCUAAUUUUUCAAAACAAGUUAAAGUAGUAAGCAUUAUCUGUAGAGAAGAAGCAAUAAAUUGGGGCUCAACAGGACCAAUGCUACCAGCGUCUGGAAUAAAAUGGGAUCUUCGUAAAGUUGAUCAAUACCAAGGGAGUUUUGUAGCGCCUUAGACUCCGCAAAAAUAAUCAUAGAAAUAAUCUUCUCUGCCAGUUAGUGUCUCAACGGGGAAGACAAUUAAACAAGAUCUCCAGAUGCAUUUUUGGCAUUAAAAAAAAAUUGGGGAUAGAAAAGAAAAUAAAUACAACAUUUCAAAAAAUGUCAACAAAACAAGAACCAACCAAAAUCAUGCCGUUGGUUUCUUGCGUGCAAAUCUCCGCAAAGAUGCCGGUAGUUCAACUUCCUCGAAUAAUUUUUGCUUUUUUUUAGACAAGGAUUGUUCUUCCUUUAAUUGUUGAUCCAAGAAAGGUCUCCUGGCAUGUGCAAUCAGUUCUUGUUUCUUCUUGGCUUUCUUACUCGGUUUAUUCCUACCCUUUGUUUUAUUCUUCCAAACGAACCCCUUAAUGGCCUCAACAGCAGCUUCCAUUGCAGCUUCUCUCCCCUGCUUAGUUGGUUUCUCUUUCUUCUUUGCUUCCCUCACCGUACCAAUCUUAGAUGGAUUCAGCAUGAUUGUUUCAGGUAGGAGCUUGUCAAGAAGAGAGUGCACUUCCUUCUCUCUCCUCUGUUUAGAUGUUUCAAAUGGGUUUGCCACCCAGGAAUCGAAGUUGGGUUCACUUGAUCUGGGAACAAGAAUACCAGACCAACCCAUGGAGUGUCCGAUGCCUAACACAUCUUCAUAUGGGCGAAAUGAAACUUUUCCUAUUUGGUAGCCUUUCACCAUAGAAUUACCCAUGUACCUGCUAUAGUUAUGAGAUCCAGAAAAAUCUCCCAGAAUCUGUGCAAAUGAUCCAGUCCCGACAGCAAGCAAACCUUUCUGACUGAAGUCUAAAGUCUUUGCAUGGCCAGUUAAUGUCUGAAGAACCUCAUAUUUCCUCAAGUCCCAAAUCUUAAUUUUACAUUCUUUGCCAGUUGUGGCCAUGAGAUGACCAUUAGGAUGAAAUGCCAACGCUGAAACAGGCCCCUGAUGAUAUAGCAUCUUGAUAAGCAGAGCAGAGGUGGUGGGUUUCCACAUGGUUACCGUACCACCAGAAUGACCCAAAGAAACAACCCCAUUGAAGGGAUUCACCCACAUUAGAUCAGUACGACCUAGACCAGUCCAAAAAUUACCCACAAUCUCACCCAUUGUAAUAUUUUGAUAUCAAAGCUGCCCAAGUUUGUUUAUGGACGCCAAGAGAAACUGAAGUUUCAGAACUGCACCAUGUUCUUGCAAGAUUGAAAGAGCAUAAAUUAUUAGUCUUGUUGGGUUGGACUACAUCACCUUGGGCAUUCUCAAAUUUGAACGACCUACAGCUAAAAAGAUCGAAAUCCUACAAGUAAAGUGAACUCGCCUUUGAACAAUGAAGUUCAGUGCCAUCUCGGUUGUAAAAAUAAGGGUACCUGUCAAAAUUUAGAAUUUUUAGCUGUCAUUCAAACAAAGCUACAGAAUUAUCUGAGUCCAUUACAUCAUUGUUCAUAUUGAUAUCUAACCAUGAAAAAUAUAACUUUGAGACUGUCAUCAAAAGAUGGCAAAACAUAAAAACAAUAAUAAAAAUGAAAGCUCAUUUAAAGAAGAGUAAUGAUACAGCCACAAACUCUUGUACAAACUUAUUUUGUACAAACUGAUGUGGCAUGAUAAGAUUGGUUGCAUUAAAUAUCACUUGGCCCACAUGAUUUAUUUUUAUUAAUUUAUAUUUUCAUUCAACCAAUAAAUUAAUGCCACGUCAGUUUGUACAAGAGUUUGUGGCUGUAUCAUUACUCUUUAAAGAACUACAAAACUGCAAGGAAUUACACUGUGUGUGUGUGUUGUCAUCAGUAACAAAGAAAUUUACUUACAUGAAUAAAACCAAAUGUCCAAAACAGAGUAUGUUGGGAAUUUGAGAAAAAAAAAAAGAACUGGAGCACCUGAAAUAGAGCUUCAUAAUGAGUUUGGGUUGAAAAAUAAACUCCAAAAAAACCAAAAACAAUGAAGGAAUGGUAACCUAGGCCAACUCAAACAAGUUAUGCCUUCACGGGGUUCAAAUUUAAGCCAUAUAAAAGAUUUGGGAUGACCAGUUUCCUAUUACAACCGACCAUAACAAGAAAGGAAUGCCAAUAAUUUUCCAAUGUUGUACAGAAAUAUGCAGCAUGCUGCAGAGGAAUAAGGAUUCCUUUAAACAAGUAUUGAUAAUUGAAAGUCUCCAAUUUUGUUGAAAAGGAGAUUGUCACUGACUGGUUAAAAUAAAGCUAAAUCAGGAAAAUAACUAAUCAGUUCUGCACAUGAUUUGUUUUUCCCUUGAAUGACCUCAUGCAGAACGAUCAAUUAGAUUGAUCAAGUUCCAGCAAUAUCCAAUAUAGCCAGCAGUGAAAAUUCAAGUAAGACUCAGACCAAAAUAGACCUCUGGUCCCAGAGACAAAAAAAUUCAAUUAAUUCAAAGUGUCUAAUUCUUAUGAAGGUACCAAAAGAUAUCAAGCAUCAAAUAUAGUUAAUAAUGCAUUCUCUAUAUGAACGAACACCAAUACGUUUAGAGCAUACGAAUUUACUAUUCAUUGAAACAUUAAAAAAUAAAAUAAAACAGGUAUACUUUUUCUGGGCAGCAGCAAAAAACAGCUCAUUGUGCAAGAAGACCACAUCGCGUACUAUUUCUCUAACCUGAACAAACCAACAAACAAUCAGUAUAUCCAUUUAAUCUUCCCAGAUAGAACCUGGAGGUACAAACAAAGAAAAUUACUCCAUUAGAGUACGCAAAGUAAUACUGAGAAAUCUAACAAACAGUAAGAUAAAUAAAAUAUCAAAUUUGAGUCAUUUGUCCCAGCAUAACCUAUUUUUUAAAAUUCUAAAUAACUUCUUGUUUGUCAACACAUACUAGGUUUCCUAGAUAAACACAAGUAACAUUGCAAUCAGUUUGUCAAGAGAUAUAAGAGGUCUCAUCAAAAGAACAGCAUACCUGUAUUUCUUUAACUAAGUUCAUAUUGUUCAUGUCCACAACAGCUAUGUGCCCCUUGCGUCCAGCAACUGCCAUAUAUCGACCACUUGACGGUAAAAUCCAGAGUAUAUGGACCAAGUUCUGCACAGGUAGGACGAAAACAAAAGUUAUCAUUAGCAAUAUGACACUAGUCAGGCAAUAGACAAAGAAGUAAGUUUUGUUUAAGAUAGUUGCCCAACAUAGCAGUAUGAACAUCAGUGAAUGAACCAUUGAUCAAGCAAUAUCACCAAAAGACCAAAUGUACUUUUAAGUCGUUCAGAGGAACCGCAGCAACAAUUUUAUAAGGUCGUGGGCAAUGAAAAUACAUAGCAUAACUAUCUCAAAUUGGAGAGACCAGAAAACCAAAGAAGAAUCCAAAGAUUAAGACAUGGCCCAAAACAGAAAAUUAAAAGGUUGUACCCAAGUGUUGUUGAUCGUAUUACAACCUAACAAAAAGUCCAAGAUUCUACUUUACUAGACUACGGCCAUAGUUGAUAUUGAGGUUGGGCAACUGUAGCUUUUAAGUUAUAACAUUACAAUGUUUGUCAAAUAUUAACUAUUGUGGAUUGAAAGCUAAGUUGAUUUAAUCCACCACUUAUAUAGUGGAAAACCUAUAAUACCCUUAUUUUUUUUCAAAAUUAUUAUUUAAAAGUCAUAUUUUCUACACUAUUAAACUACAGCAUCUAAACAACAAAUAGGGCCUAUAUUUUAUUAAGAAAAGCAUGCAAUGGGAGCCAACUUUUAACUCUAAAGAUAACUCUAGCAAAUUUAAUUAAACAUUGAAGCAAAAUUUCCCUUUUUAUUUUCAUAAAAAUUCCUUCUUUUACCAAUCCCUUCAAAGUUGAAUAACAAAAGCCAAAUUACGGAUUUCACUCCUCAAACAGAAAUUCUAGAGCAAGUGUAUGGUUAAGAACUCUGAUCCCAUUCUACUCAUUUUACAAAAUAAAACUCUUUAUUACUUUUCAAUUCCUUAUCCACCUUCCCUUUUCAGCCAAGAUCUUUCCAUAGAUAACAACAUAUUUUCAGCAAACCUUAAAAGAGUUGCAAUGAUUUCAGUAUUUUUCUUUCAUAGUUUCUACAAUUCUCCUAAUUUUUUGCAUUUUUAACUAAUUUAAACAAAGAUAAUAGGUAUGCAACUGCAUAAGACAUGCCACAAUUUCACUACGGGAACAAGAAAUUUGAAUUUAAAAUUGUCCUUAAACAGACAAUGAGUCAAACAAAACCUUAACCAAUGGAAAUUGGUAGAAAAAUAGUCAGAGAGCAGGCAUCAACCUGGUAACAUGAUAUCAUAUUAAUUUCUGGAGCUUAGGAUAUCUACUUCACAAGCAAUUGCUUCUACCAACCGCCCCCUUCAAUAUGUUAUCUUUAUCUAAGAAGCAAGCUCAAUAUGAUUCUUUAACAAAAAUGUAUAUCAUAAACAUACAAUCCUGUAAAAUUUUUCACCUUAUCUUCUCAAAAUAGAAUUUGAGAAAAUUUAAUGACAGAUGACAAGUUAAAUAGGAAACUAAAUUACCUUUUCAACUUUGGCAGCAGCUUUCGCAGAUUUUCCAUAUAAUUCUUCUCUGAGAGGAAGUUGACCCUUCAAUUUUUGUCUUUUAAAAUCUGCAGAAAUGAAAAGCUUAGAACUGAAUAAAUAUCAUAAAAAAUCAACUCUGACAAGAAAUCUCAAUCAACAAUACCAUACCUCCAAAUUAGCACCCUCUCCUCUGAGAUAUUUCUUGACCUUUGUAUCUAAUUCAUAGGAGAUCUCCUGCAGAUUAAACAUAUAUCACGUCACUUCCUAACUUCGAAAUAGAAACAAUGCACAUCCAAUAUAAUAAAAAUAUAUUGUCGAACAUCAAAUAAUAAUGAGUUUAUUGAAAAGCAUUAAUGUGCUUUCUGGAAAAGCAUUAAUGUGCUUUCUGGAAAAGCAUUUUGUUAACUAUUUCCAAAAACAAAUCCACUUCUCGAAAUACUUAAUUCGAUUUUUAAAUAAAUCAAUCAAUCAAUUAACCAACUGCUUAUGUCAUUCAGAUUAAAGCUUCAAAGAGCGCCGAGAGAAGCAAACCUCGUGAGCGGAAUGAGUUAUUAAACCUUGUGAGCGGAAUGACUUAUUAGAAACACAUCGUAUUGCCUUUAAUCGGAAAAAAAAAAAUUGCAGGAAGUUUCCAAUUUCCAAAGUUAAUUAACUUAAUUAGUAAUCUGACUAUACGCAGAUCUAAGUAAAAGAAACUGCCACGUAAUUGCACACUGAGAGAUAUCAUUGACAUCUCAUGUUUGGUUCCACCACUCUCCUCCUAUGCGUAGAAAAAAUGCACCCAUUAUCGCUUCUUUAUUGAACAUCUACUAACCAACCAAAAGCACAAUUAACUAAUAGGUUGAACCGGGCUUAGACUUCUGGGUUACACAACUAAUUCCUUUUGCUUUGCAUAAAGUCCCACGAGAUACAAACUCUGCUAAUAAUAAUUUGAGAACUAAAGAGUUGAAUAGAUUCCCAUAAUCCACAGUGCAUCUCACCUAGUACAUUCUCAGAGAUGUUCGUAUUAUAUUGCUGGAGAAAAAUCAGUUUUUUUUAUUAAAAAAAAAUUUAGGAUCGAUCUCAUACAAUAUAUAAGAAUUCGUAAUCUAGAAAUCGUACUUUGAAACUCGUAGAAGAUGAACAAUCUUUGCUUUUUCCGCUGAAGUGAUUUAGACUCCCAGAUCACGAUCCGUCACCACCACUCCUGUUAGAUCACGAUCCGCCACCAAAUAAUCUUCCAGGCUAUGACUCAAGUUUGAUCUACACUUGACGUUUGGGCGCCUUUAUCACCACUAAAGCAAUUAGUAAGUUAGAGAGAAAAUUUCUUUUUCUCUGAUCUGUAUAUUGCGGCUCUUUCUUUUUCUUUAGAGAAAAUAAGUCUUUUUAUAUCUCCCUUUAGUGAAAACCCUAGGCUCCAAAUAAUAAAAACCAAAAGUCAUGUUGCUUUUUCUAUAAGGGCCCACCUUGCAAAAUAACAUAAGGCCCCUUACACACAAGCAUAUUAAAUGUAGCCUCCCACUAAAUGAUAUAUUUAGACUUUUGACCUAAAUAGCUAGUUAUCUUUCUUAUUAAUUCAGUAGUGGUGUAGUCAAUUAAAUGAGCUAACCCGAUAAUCAUAUGAGUAAAUACAAUAUUAGCUACAAUAAUUAGGUCUGUAAUUAAACUAGCCCAAUUAUUUAAUUCCAAAUCUACUCCACUAAAAUAUUGGAACUGACCUCCAUAAUUGUAUGCUAUCCAGGAUAGUGUUCUCGAAUAAUAAUUUGACCCAUACCACAUUGAUUUCUUUACUGCACAAUCCUUUGUACCACAUCGUUAAUUAAAUUGAUAUCUCAACUAUCCAAUCAAUUUAAUAACAUCUUGUUCCUUGAUACUUACUAGUUUUCUCUAAUGAUCAUUUUCAACACACUAAAUAAGUUGACACACUCUGGCUAGAGAAUUCUAUGAUCAAGUACCGAAAACCCAUCAAGAGAUGUGUUGUACAAAUUCUAUAUUGUUAAUAUAUAAUUUCAAUACUUAUAAUUGCUCCCACCAAGAUACCGGGUAAUCUUGACCACAAGUGUGUGUCGUGCCCAUUGAUAAAUCAAAUGAAAUAACAAUUACAAUCAUGAAAUCAUAACUAACUCAAGAUCAAGAUUACAAUAAAAUCAAUGCCUAUGAGAUUUAAUAAGUCUGACAGUCAUUUCAAGGUUAAUUAAAUCUCAUAUGUGAUCAUGUUCAAUGUAGUUGUACUAUAUCAAUAAAUUCUUACAUGAUUAAGAAAAAUCAUUCAAUAAAUUUAUUACAGUUUAUACCUAAAUAAAGUGCCCAACUUUAUUUAUCAACUGCGAAUAUAAUUUAUUUAAUCAUAAGAUAACUUGUAUUUAUGUCUUCUAUGAAUCGACAUAGUGAUCACAUAAAUACAUAUAAUAUGAUCAAAUGGACUUUACUUAAAAUAUUAAUAUAAUUCAUAUACUUGAAUAAAAUACCUCAUUUAUUUUAUUAAUCAGAAAAAUUAUUUAUUACAAUUAAAUAAACACAUAUGCUUUUAAAGAGCAUAUUUUCCCAACACAAAUAACUAAGAUUAGAUCAAUUUAGUUCAAUAUAUUUGGGAACAAAAUAAUUGACAUUUGACAAUUAUUCCAUCAGUAGAAACCAUAAGAUGAAAAUAAAGUUGGUCAAAUUGCACAUAGGGACAAUAAGAACACAAGCCAAACCUGUAUCAAGACAAAGGCUUCAUCCGAUAGACCUUCCUGCAAUAAACAAUAGCAUGUUAAAGACUAGUAAAGGCCAGCUCGGAGCGAUACAAAGCAGGAGGAUAUGGUGCAGUAAGAUUUAUGUAAAUCUGGAAUAUGAAUAAAAAUAUAACUCAAGAAAGAACCUACCUGGGUUGCCUCCAGAUGAGAGGCAUUAUGAUUUUCUUUGAUAUAUUCAUGCAACAGUCCACGAAUUUUCCAACUCUGGUCUUGAGAACCAGAGCUUUAUUCUGUUGAAAAAUCAUGCACGUGGCAUCUAAAUUCAAGAAAGCAUGCAAAUUUUCAAAGAGCUGCCAAACAAUUGAAGAAAAAAUGAAAAGUUGGCAAAUUUGUCAAAUUUGCCAAAUGGACACCAUUGACAAUUUGCUUAGGUUAGGUGGAAUAGUAAAGGGGUUGGUGCAAUAGUGCCAUUGUUUUCCCUAUAAAUAGAUGGCACUUCUUCCAUUCUAAAGCAUCCCAAAACAUUUGUUAAACUUAUUAGUUUUUAAGCUUUUGAGAGUUCUGAGAGUGUGAGCAAUUGGAGAGUGUGUGUGAGAGUACUGGGUGUAUUUGGGUUCUGAGAAAGUGAGAUUUCUUUACUCAAAUUUGUACUCAAAUAAUUGUUAAUAAUACAAUUAUUUUUCUCUUGCUCCCGUGGACGUAGGCAUAUUGCCGAACCACGUAAUUCUUGUGUUCUUUAUUUUUUUAUAAUUAUUUGGUGCGCUUGAUUCCGCAUUCCGUGCACAACAAGUGGCAUCAGAGCCGACGGUUUGUACUUGGGGGAUACGGUACUGUUCACGUAUACGGUAUUGUUCACAUACGAUACUGUUCACGAAUACGGUGGAGACAACCAUUUGUACUUGGGAGACAGUCUAUUGUAAGUAGUAUGUAUUUUUGCAUGUCUAGGAAAGUUCUGUCAACAAAGGCAAUAAGAGUCUAAGGAUUCUGGUUUUUAAUUGGGACCGAGUUCCCGUCCAGUCUCCUAGGAACUUUUCUGGUGCAUUUAUUCACGCGAAAUUAACAUCAUAGAGGCUGUUUUUCAAGUGGAAAUAGUUCGUUAAGAAAAUGAUAGAAGGUGAAACUUCUAGAAUUAGGGAGAGAACUACCGAGACUAUUUUAGGAGACACUUCAGGUGGGAGGCGAGAUUUGUCAAAUCGCUAUUCAGCACCUGUUAUAGGAGGCCAGAAGAUCGAUGUUGAAAAGUUUGAUGGGAAAAUCAACUUCGGCAUGUGGAGGCGCGAAGUUGUAGAUGCCCUUAUUCAAAUCGAUCUCGAUGUUGUUCUGAAAAAUAAAAGACACUUGUAUGAUGAAGAAAUUUGGGAUCGUAUGAACGAGAAAGCUUGUGGUCAGAUCAGAUCUUGUUUGACCAAGGAGGUGAAAUACUUAGUGAAAGAUGAGGAGUGUGCGGUGACUUUGUAGUGUACAUUGGAGGAGAAGUACAUGCUGAAAAGUCCUGAAAAUCAUCUUCAUACAAUGAGCCAAGUAUAUGGCUUUCGAAUGAAGCAUGGAGUGUCAAUGCACGAUCAUGUCUCAAGAUUUGAAAAGUUACUUGCUGAUUUGAAGAAUCUUGAUGAAGAUAUUAAGGAUGAAGUCAAGGCUAUGAUUAUGUUACACUUACUACUAGAGGAAUAUAGUCAUUUUGAGACUACCUUGAUAUAUGGGAAGAGUGUGAUCGUCUUCAAAGAUGUUUGCACAUCUUUGACUAACUUGGAGAUUCGGAAUAAUAAUAAAAAUUUUGAACGAGUAUCGUCUGAAGCUUUGGUGAGUAGAGAUUGGGCGAUGGAGAAAAAUAAAAAGUGUGGUGGAAAGAAUUCUCGAUCCAAAUCGAGAAGCAGAAAUAUAGCUCGAGAUGAGUGUGCCUUUUGUCAUGAAAAAGGCCAUUAGAAGAAAGAUUGUCCAAAGGCUCAAAAGAGAGAUGGGAAGAAACCAGCAGCAGCAAACAUGGCAUGGAAAGAUGAAGACUCUGAUUAUUCACUAAGUAUUACUCCUGCAGCAUACGUGGCUAGUACGAGCGAGUGGAUACUUGAUGCUGGAGCAACCUAUCAUUUGUGUCCUAUUAAGGAAUGGUUUACGGAUUUUCAUAAUCUGGAAUCCGGUGCAGUUGUGAUGGGAAAUGAUCAACCUUGUCGCACAAUGGGGAUAGGAACAAUUCAGCUCAAAAUGUUUGAUGGAAUGGUCAGAGAACUCAAAGAGGUUAGAUUUGUUCCAGCUUUAAAGAAAAAUCUAAUUUAUGUGGGUGCUUUGGAAGCUAAAGGCUACAAGAUUACUAUUGAAGAUGGUAUAAUGAAGUUUACACAUGGGGCUAUGGUGAUUCUGCAAGGGGUUCGGCGUCACAAUCUGUACUAUUUGAAGGGAGGUACAACUGAUGAAGUAAAUAUUGUUGAGGCGAAUAGUGACACCACCAAGCUAUGGCAUGUACGAUUGGGACAUGUUGGAGAGAAGUCUUUGCAAACUCUGAUGAGGCAUGGACUCUUAAAAGGUACCAAAACCUGUAAAUUAAAUUUCUGUGAGCAUUGUGUAAUAAGUAAGAAAACAAGGGUCAAGUUUGGUACAGCUAAUCACGAUACUUGUGAGAUCCUUGAAUAUGUUCAUAGUGAUGUAUGGGGACCAACCAAGACUGCAUCAAUUGGUGGAAGCCAUUAUUUUGUUACAUUUGUUGAUGAUUUCUCUAUACAUGUGUGGGUGUACACCAUGCGAGCAAAGGACGAGGUUCUAGAGAUUUUUGUGAAAUGAAAGAAAUUGGUAGAGACUUAAACUGGCAGAAAGAUCAAAGUAUUACGAUCUGAUAAUGGGGGUGAAUAUACUUCUCAUCCAUUCUUGCAAGUAUACCAAAACGAGGGUAUUAAAAGACAUUUCACGGUGAGACAUACUCCGCAACAGAACGGUGUGGCUGAGCGUAUGAAUCGUACUUUACUGGAGAAGGUACGUUGUAUAUUAUCUAAUGCUGGUUUAGAAAAAAAGUUUUAGGCUGAAGCUGUGAGCUACGCAAGUCACUUGGUAAACCGGUUGUCUUCUGCUGCAAUUGAAGGUAAAACUCCUAUGGAAAUGUGGUCUGGAAAGCAUGCACAAGACUAUGAUUCCCUUCGUAUAUUCAAGUGUCCAGCUUAUUAUCAUGUCAAAUAUGGUAAACUGUAUCCUCGUGCUAAAAAAGCUAUCUUUGUGGGAUUCAAAGGUGGAGUAAAGGGUUUCAAGCUUUGGGAUCUCGAAGAUAAAAAAUUUGUGUGUAGCAGAGAUGUCACAUUUGAUGAAGCUUCAAUGAUGAAAGCUUCAAGUUCUCAGCAGGUGGAGGACAAGACCAAAGAGGCAUUGCAGCGGGUGGAGUUUGAUGCAACUCCAUAUGUACCAGUUAGUUCUACAUCAAAUAAGGGUUCAACUAUGGAGGUGACGCCUAGAGUUGAAGAAGAGGUUGUUUCUUCUGAUGUCCCACAAAAUGAAGAAAUAAUUGAUGAUGUAGAUAAUGAUGAUUUUAUAGCAACAAGGAGGCCAAAAAGAGAGAUAAAGAAACCCGGAUGGCUUACUAAAGAUAUGGUGGUAGCCUAUGCACUUCCAGUUAUUGAUGAUGACAUCCCCAACACUUUCGGUGAAGCAUUACGCAACAGUGAAAGUUAUCGGUAGAAGUUAGCCAUGGAAGAAAAGAUGAAAUCUCUCCAUCAAAACCAUACUUAGGAACUUGUAAAGUUACCAAAGGGGAAAAGGGCUAUUGUCAAUAAAUGGGUCUACACCAAAAUGCAAGGAUCUCCGAAUCAAACAAAUUCUCGAUACAAGGCAAGACUCAUGGCAAAAGGUUUUGCUCAAAAGGAAGGUAUUGACUACAAUGAAGUUUUCUCUCCAGUAAAUAUACUUCGAUUGUUAAGUUAUGUCCUCCGGGAAUUUUGAACUACGGUUGGCUUGAUCCCAAAUUUUGGAUACGUAGGCAGUCACAGAGAUGCAGCCACUUUUGGGAACGAUGGUUCAUUGGUAGUUGGCUCAGAUUUGGACAAAUUUUUGCCGAGGUGGAGAAUUGUUAAAAAACCAUGCACGUGGCAUCCAAAUUCAAGAAAGCAUGCAAAUUUUCAAAGAGCUACCAAACAAUUGAAAAAAAAAAUGAAAAGUUGGCAAAUUUGUCAAAUUUGCCAAAUGGACACCAUUGACAAUUUGCUUAGGUUAGGUGGAAUAGUAAAGGGGUUGGUGCAAUAAUGCCAUUGUUUUCCCUAUAAAUAGAUGGUACUUCUUCCAUUCUAAAGCAUCCCAAAACAUUUGUUAAGCUUAUUAUUUUUUAAGAUUUUGAGAGUUCUGAGAGUGUGAGCAAUUAGAGAGUGUGUGUGAGAGUACUAGGUAUAUUUGGGUUCUGGGAAAGUGAGAUUUCUUUACUCAAAUAAUUGUUAAUAAUACAAUUAUUUUUCUCUUGCUCACGUGGACGUAGGCAUAUUAACAAACCAUGUAAUUCUUGUGUCCUUUAUUUUUCUAUAAUUAUUUAGUAUGUUUGAUUCCGCAUUCCGCGCACAACAUAUUCGCUAGCCGAUAAUAUCAAAUGCUUGAAAGGGAGGGAGCCAACCGAUCUCAAAGCAAAGUAUUCACAAGCAGUAGUUGAUAAACUGGAAAUCUGCAUUAAAUAUUACAUCCAUUACAUGCCAGCAUUUGCUUUUAAUAAAAAGAACAAAUAAAAUCAAUAAAGAUAUUGUUGAAAGCCAAAGCGUGAACCAGUGGUUGCGCGGCUGUGUCUGGCUGACGAGGAGGCGAUAAUGAAUGGCGUGAGCUCGACGGCUUGAUGAUCGGUGGUCGCCAUCGGCAGCGGGAUGAAUGCGGAAAGCAUGGGAACGCAAAUUUGGAGCACGGGGUUUCAGUUCUCAUUCGUUUUUGAGCUACUAAGCCUCUUCGCUGGUAGGCUUUUGUUUUAAAAGAUGGUCCUGACCCAGAGAAGCAACAAAGAAAGUGCUGUGAGUUAAAGAGAUUUUUCCAAUGACGAUUGUACCCUUAAAUAAAUAGUUAAAUGUUGAAGAAAAGAACAAUAAUGGGCGAUUAAAUAAUUCCCAAAAAUAAGGACCAAAAUAAUUUUUCAAAUUUAUAAUACACUUUAAAAUAGUGGUUGGAAAAAGCGUUGGAGCUGGUACCCAUUACGAGUUGGGAAAUUUGCAUUCCAGUGAAUUUGAUUGUGUUAUGAAUUUUUCGGAUUGGGAUAUAAUUCAUUAAAAAAAAUUAGAAACGAAUAAAAAAUUAAAAGUAGUAAGCAUUUUAUUAAACAAAAUUGCAAAUGCAUAUGUAUUGAAUACAAAUAAACUUAAAACAAUCACUAGAAGCAUAUUGAAAUUAAGAGAACAAUAUAAGACAGCCCUGACGGCUAGGUGCGAUGUAGAUGGAAUAUCUGUUCGUGCCUGGGUGGGUUGGCACGAUGGAACUAUUGACAACUGUCAGUGGCUUAGCGUGGUUAGUGGUAUUUGUUAUCAUUAUUAUGGUGUGUUUACUUGAGGGUUUGGGGAAUGAGAAUUAAGAAAUGAGAAUGAAACCUAUGUUUACUUGACAAAAUGUAAUUUGAGAAUGAGAAUAAAAUUUAUGGGUCCCACACAAUUUGGGAAUAAGGAAUGAGAAUCUCAUUCCCAUGGGGGGUUGGGAAUGAGAAUGAAAUUUAUGUUUACUUUUGUAUUUCUCUAAUUUUUUUUAUAUUUUCCGAAUUAUCCUCAUUCAAAUCACAAUUAAUUUUAUUAUUUUAAAUGUCAUUAUUAUUAUUAUUAUUAUUACAUUUUAUUAGCUUUAUUAUUAAUUAUUGUUAUUAUUAUUUUUAUUAAUAUUAUCAUUAUUAACAUUCAUUAUCAUUAUUAAUUUUAUUUUUUUAAUUAAUAUCAUUUUAUAAUAAUAUUUAUACAUGUAUCUAGUUAAUGAAAAUUACAUUAUUUAAUACUAUAGGUAUUUUGAUAAAUUGAUUCUCAUUCCUCAUUCCCAUUUAUUUUGCCAAGUAAACACAUCAAUUACAUUCCAGCACAUUCUCAUUUCCAUUUAUUUUUGCUAAGUAAAUAUCGGAAUCUCAUUCUCAUUCCUCAUUUCCAUUCCAGCUCAUUCUCAUUCCCAGCACAUUCACAUUCCAUCUCAUUCUCAUUUCAUGAAGUAAACGCACCAUUAUUCUUUUCAUCUCGAAAGGGUUUGUUAGAAUUAGAAAUUAGGCUUUAGUUUUGUCUUAGUUUUAGGAUCCAUUAUUUUUUAUUUAACUUUUUUUAAUUUUGAGAUCUAAUCCAAUCUAAUUUAACUCGAUCUGAACAUAAAACAGUAAAAAUUAUCUAAACAGUUCUCAAUUAAAAUAAGUUCAAUUAAAAUCUGAAUUUGUAUGAAUUAGAAUAAUGGCAAGAAAACAGAGUUUGGAUAUGUUUUGAGUAACUUUGAAUAGGUCCAAAUCUGAUAAGAUCAGUAAAAAUUAUCUAAACUCAAUCGAAUAGAUUUGAACCGUUCAGGUUCGAAUCAGAUAUGGUUCUACGUACGUUGUGUAAAACAUCAAAUUUCACAACGAAAACUCUUUUCUUGUUCAAAGAAACAAAGAAAAAGGAUAGUGUUGACACCAUAAGUUUGGCCUAACAAUAAGAUCGGAAUUAAUUUGGGAAUGGGCCCAUAAUUCCUCGAGAUGAUUACUCAAGAGGUCGGAGAUUGAGAUGCUUUGAUCUACAAGAGGAAAAAAAAAACAGUGAGGGGUGUGUUGGAGUUACUAUCAAUCAAGACAUUCCAAUGCUUAAGUCAGAAAUUGGGAGCCUCGACAAUAACAAUUGUAAAUGUUUGAGGAAAAUGUGUAUGCUAACAUGGAGUAAUGAGUUGAUUAUACAUGGCGAAAGAAAGUCAACCAAAUUAGAGUCAGCUCAUUUGAGUGGUAUAGUUUACAAAGGUUAAAAGAUAAGCUCCAUGGGAAAAAGGACAGUUUCGAUAAAUAUAUUUCCAAGUGGUAUUAUCAGAACUCAAAUUUUGUUGGUUGGAGCUAACAAGUAAAUAGUGCACUCCAUCAUGAGAAAAAAUAAAAUAUCUUCUUUUUAACUAAGAAUAAGGAGACAAUAUGAAUAAAGAUUCUUUGAGCAAAGCAAUAAGAGGGGACCAUGUCAACUAUCCUUUACUAACCCCUGAUAAAUAGAAUACCCUUAGGAACAAGGUUGAGAGGCUGCCAUGUGCCCAGCUACGGAGGCAAAAAUGUAACUGAAGGUUUUCUUACAUCCCAAGCUUAUGGAAGUCACCAUUAAAGAACAAAUCAUUGAAUUAAUAAAAUAACCUCACUUAAGAGCAAAAAAGCUAUUGUCAAAUAUUCAAGCUUCCUUGAACCUUCAGGCCACUGUUUCAUUGUCCAAAACCUUACUUGAGAGGAGGAUAUCUCUCUCUUUUUCCUCUAUGCACCUCUUGGGAGCUUCUUUCCAAAUCUGAUUUCUUGAAAAGUUACUUCAUCUUUUUCUUCCUCUACUUCUAGGGUUUUUCCUUCCAUGUGUUUAUAUCUUCAUGGAAGAUCUUGACUACCUCACCUCUCAAAAGAGUUUUUUCCUUUAUUAUUCUACUAGAAAACUCUCUAAUUUUCAUAAGACUGACAUCUUCCUCAUACUAGUAUUCACCAUAAACGACCUUUAAAGAGGUUUUGUUGAUAUUAAGAGUUGGCCUGCCUAAGGCCACGUUUCAAGAACUUAAGAGAUGUUUCAAGCUCCAGACUAAUCCAAAGGAGCAUGAGGGCUGGUAUUAUCCAUCAUCAUGGCCCAAAACGAAAAGGUUAGUUCAAAAUCUACUGAUCAUAAAUAAAAAUUUAAAGAUCGAUGGCUUUGGGCCUUAGGAGAUUGCAACCAAUUCGUUAUAGAGAAAAAGACAAACAAAGUACCAAGUGUAUUUAGACAACUAGGCCUGGUUUUAGUUAGUACUUAAAACAUACAUAGAGGUAUGAGCGUUCAUAAAAAACAUAAGUACAUGUCAUGCAGUUUUGUGAGGUGAUCAACCAAAGGUAUCACUGCAAAUUCCAACAAAUAUUAGAAAAGCACUGCAAUACUGCAAUUCGUACAUAGUAGAGAACUUUCAAGUGAAUGGACUUGUGGAUUUGCAAGAGGCUAAGCCAACACGAUAUGUGAAGAAAAAGAGAAAGGAACUGACCUGAUCAUAUGAGCUAUGCUCACAUAAGAUGUAAAAUAAAAUAUGUAAUUACUAACUGGGAUAGUGGGAUAGCAAUGGCCACCACCUAUAGCGGGUUUGUCAUUAUCGAACCUACACCAUCAAAAAAAUUUAAAUUACCAAAUUCAUUUGCAAUCUACUGUGGGUUUUAACAAUUACCAAAUACAUCUAAAACCUAGAAUGAAUUUUGCUUGUAACCCAUAGUGGCUAUAAUAGCAAUGAAUUUAUUUUAAAUUAGCAUGUUCUGCCCAUAACCUGCAAUGGCAGCAUAAGCAAUAGAUUUAUUUUAAAUCAUAACACAUCUAGAAUUAUAGUGCCAUAUUACUAUUGCAUACAAAAUAUACUAUUACAUUCAAGAAUAAUAUACUUUUACUAUUACAUUAUUACUAUUGCAUUAAAAAAAUUAGAUUUAUCUAAACAUUUCUAUAAAAAUAUACUUUUACUAUUUGCAUACAAAUAUGCAAUUAACUCUGCAGUAAAAGUUAUGCUUAUACUUGAGCUUUUGAUUAGAUUAGUAGUAGCCAAGUUUAGGUUGAUUUUUAACCCAAACCAACUAAUUUAAGACAAACCAAUUUCAACUAAUAUAGUUGUCUUUUUAUUGAUAUCUCCACAAGUGUAUUUAAAAAAAAUAUAUGCAUAUGUUCUAUGAAAAUUGAAAAGAACGACAUGAAUCAAUCUAGCGAUAGCAAUUAUUUAUCUUUAUAAUUAAAUAUUUUUAUAAUUAAGAAGAUUAUGUCAGGUUUUAAACAACAAAGGGCCACUGAUAACUUAGUUUAUGUAUUUUUAUAAAUAAAUAUUUUUAGUGAAAUUUUAAUAAUUAAAAUUUAUAAAAAAUAAUUAAAAUAAAAUUAUGGAUUGGCAGAAACCCAUGAAUAUCCGCUGAAUUUUUUAUUAAUACCAAACUCACCCACAACUCGCACCGAAUUUAAAUUUGUAAUAGCAAUCUCAUCUGCAGCCCACAAAAUUACCAGUAACAAAUGGUUUUUUAGUUGGUAGGUUCACACAGAUUUAGGGAUUUGUGGGUACCAUUGUCAUCCCUAUCAUUGACCCCAUGCUGUCAACAAGAACCGUAUAAUCAAGUAUUUGGGGAAAACUAAAGAAAAGGACCCACAAGGAGAUGGAUCCAAAAGAUGGAGGUUCAAAGCAAACAUCCAAUAUAGUUGGGGCAUAAACACGAAGACAACCCCUCGCAGCAUGCCCGACAAUAAUGGUACCAAUUUUAGCAUCAACUGUGCAUAAUGGAGAUUCAGCAAUCAUUGUUAAACAAAAUCUGACCGAGACAAAGAAAAAAGAAAUUGCUUUGAGCACACCCGACAUGUGGUGUAUUUUACUAAAGCAUACGUGUACAGAGAAAGAGCUCGUAUGAAAUCCUUUAAUGGAGUGUGAUCAAGAGGUAAUACAUAAAAUUUAAAAUGUAUUAAAGAUUCAAAGUAUAUGAAAAUAUUAUAAUAGAAGUAUAAUAAAUCUAACCUUUUCUUAUGGCCAGGCAAAUUAUCGUAGAUGUAGGCUUAGGCAAUACCAUGACCAUCUGAUCAAACAAGGAAUAAAGGGAAUUGCUAUCCUAAAUAAAUUGAAGAGCAACAUUGCAGAGAUGAAAGCAAAGACCGAGAAAAAAUUUAAAGCAAAUGAGAGCCAAAAAAAAAUAAAAAAUAAAUAAAUAAAUAAACUAAGGCAACGACAGAAAAAGCUAGAGGAAAAGGCUCUUCGUUGGGUAGAAUUAAUCACAAAAUUGAAGAGAACGAACAGUUAAUUCGAAAAAGAAAAGCAGAUCGAAUGUGACGAAGGUACUUUGCUGGUGGAGGAAAAACACCCUGGCAUAGAUUUAAAGAGCAUCAAGGAAGAGAUCGGAGUCUCCAAGACUAAAAUACAAAAGCAGCUAAGGCAAGUGACCAGAGAAAGAAUGAAGAGAAUAGAUGCGGAAACAAUGGUUCUCCAGAAUGAGGAUGCCCCAUCAACCUAAAUUGAUAUUAAGGAAAAGCAAUCAGCAUGUAAUAGCUAUAUAAUUUUGAAUUAAUAGUGAUGUAUGAUUUGAACUACCAGCAAGUUAUUUGUGAAACUUGUGGCAUUGCAUAUAUUUCAUAUCUUAUUUCACAUUGAUUAAAUGUAUUGUAUGGAAAAUAUAUUUUAUAGGCCAGAAUUAAAAUUUUAAAAAUUAUGCCGCGAAAGCACUACAAGAAAUAAGAUUAUGUAGCGAAAGGGCUACAAGAAAUAAGAAUUAAAAUAAGAACAAAAUUAAGAACUGGAUCAUAAAUAAUGCUCGAAGUUUAAUUUCGUUAGGGAUAAUACUUGUGAGGCAUUGCAGCAUUAUAUUUCUUAUAAUUCUUCCAGACGUUUUUGCCAUCAGGUCCCUCAAGUUGAUAAGUCCCAGAGGAAAACCAUUUUCAGCACAUUGCAAGGUCCUUCCCACUUAACCAUGAGGCUUCCCUUCUCAGUAAUGUAACCUCGUUAGAAGAUUCAAAACCAAUGGAAACUAAUUUAGCCAUAUGCAUGGCUCUUGCCAAAGGAAUUCCAAUGCCGAGAUUGUGUCAAUCCAUAUCCAAUGAAAACAGCAUCAUCAAGGCAGACAAACCCCUCAAUCAAAGUAAAUCUCCAUCAUCUAGAAUCAAGGAAAUCUCUAAUGGCUAGUUAAUUGAAAUUCCUGACUGUAUGAAAUUUAUUUUUUCAUUUUUUAUCUCUUUGUAUUUUUGUGUAAAUAUCGUACAUACUCUUGUAUAUAGUACAAUAAGUGAAAUACAACUUUUAUUUAGAAUAACAUUGUUUCUUUCAUGGUAUCUGAGCCUUAUGGCCUCAACAGCUCCAUCCUCGCGAAAAGAAACCAAACUUACUCUCCAAACCUUUCAUCAAUGCUCAAGCUUAAUAUCAUCAAGUUUUCAUCUAAGAAUUAUCUCUUGUGGAGGUCUCAAGUGCUGCUGAUGAUCCAAAGCGUCAGCUUAGAACAUCACAUAACUAAUUCUGAGCUUCGACCAAAGACUAUCAAAGAAAGAGAAAAAGAAACUGCCAAUCCCGAGUUUACAACAUGGCUUAACAAUGACGUAUUUGCUGAAAACAUGGCUGAGGGAGAUGAUGAUGGAAGAUACGCUAGCCUUAGUUGUUGGAUGAGAAGCUGCAAAUGAAGUUUGGUUCACCAUUAAAGAGCAAAUGCUUCCCGUCACAACAAAAAAGAAAAAAAGAAAAAAAAAAGAAACUUGACUGAAAGACAACCUUUAUUGACUGAAGAAAGAGUCUUCACGGCUAGAAGAAUUUCUCCGAAAACUCAAAAGGGAUUUGCGACAACUUAGCAACUAUUGGAAACCAUUUGCAAAUGAGGACAAAGUUUUACGAUUGCCCCAUUCACUUAGUCCAAAGUAUGCCAACUUCAAGACAGCCAUGCUCACGAAGCCUCCGUAUCCAAGACUGAAACAAUUCCUCCUUGCCCUAAAUAACCAUGAACACUCAUGGCCUAAAAGAAAAGAAUACAUCAGACAUAAACGAAGCCUUUUUUGGGCAACGGGCAAAAGAAGAAAUCAGCAUGGCGGUAGGUUCAAUGGUCGUGGCAAAAGACAAAAUCAAGGAGGAAGAAACAUAUCACACUUACUGAUGUGCUAGUAAUUUAUAUAUUAUUUAUAUAUUUUCUUUAAAUUAAUUUUAGGUUAAAUUAUAUUUAUUAUGUUAAUUUUAUCUUAAUUUUUAUAUUUUAGGUGCAUUUUGGGAAUAAAGAGGAAUUAAAUCAGAAUAUUCAAGUAAGGAGAGCUUAAAAAAGAAAUUAAUUGGAGAUUUAAGAAAAGUAAUGGGAGUUAAAAUGAAAAACAAAUCGAAGUAGCCAAAGCCUAAUUGAAGUUCACGUGAAGAUGAGAAGACUUAGCAUUGGAAAUAUGUUAAUUAAUAAGGUAAAUCAAAUGAAGAACGAAUUAAAAGAAGAAAGCAUUCUUGUGAUAGGCUUUGGCCAAAUCUUUAUUAGCUUAUUAAUUGAAUAAGUCACGUGCAUGCAUGAAAGAAUAAGGCGGCUUGACUUUUGUUUUUAAUUAUUUCCAUAUAAGGAUUUAAAGGCCACAAUUGAAGCAAUAUAAAAGGGCCAAGCGGAAGCAACGGAGGACGGAAUUAAGAGAGGAGGGCAGCCGCACGAAAUUGGAGCCAAGAAGAAAAAAAAAAAUAGAACAGCAGCCGAAAGUCUUAAGCCAAAACCGAGAGCAGCAGGAGCAAUUUGGAGGAGGAAGAAGACGCUAAGCUUAAUUCUUGAGUUUUUCUUUCCCUUGUCUCUAUUAUCUUACUUGAAUGUUCCUAAUUAAAUUUAUGAAUUCUCUUUAUAUUUUCAUGAACUAAUUUAUUUUGAUAGGGCUAUGAUGUAGCCUAACUAUGAAGAUUUAAUUCCAUAAAUUUAUGUUAUUUUUAAUUUUUUAUUCCAUGGUUGAGUGUUUAUUAUUGUGCUUAAUGCUUUUAAAUAUCUUGCCAAUAUUUGAAUGAUUUGAGGAUACAUAAUGAGACCGAGAGGAGAUUUAUGUGUUUUUACUUUGUGUAAUGGAUGUCAUGAAUUGAACGAAAGACAGAGAUGUACCAAUAUGAUUCGUAUAGUUUUAUCUAAGAAUUUUUAUAAAACUUAAUGACUCUUUGCAUAUUUAAAUUCACAUAGAGAUAUAGUGGGUUAAUAUGUGAAGGUAUUUUUGAUAUUACUCGAGAGAGGAUAUUGAAUAGACUAAGGAAAUUCACUGUCAACAUGGGUAGUAAACUUUAAUAGUAUAGAUGGAGGAUUAAAUUGGAUUGGUUAUGGUGAAAUUGGAUGUUCUAGUGUUUUAAUCUCUUUGUUUUUUGUUACUGCAUGCAUCUUUAUUUAAUUUUUAGUUAUUUUAUUUUAAUUUAAAUUCGCUUAUUCAAUUGUUUGAAUAAAUUAGGGUUAGAAUAAUUUUGGUAGCUAAUAGGAUAUACAAUCUCUGUGGGACGAUACUCUACUGUUCAUUAUAUUACUUGUGCUGACUAGUACACUUGCUAAUUUACGCAUCAAGUUUUUGGCGCCGUUGCCGGGGAUUGUUUGGAUUAGUAUCGAUACCAAAUAACCUUAGUUUAAUUUGAAUUUUAUUUUUAUUGUUAUAUUUUAAUUUUCAUUUUCUUGUCUAAUUUUAUGAGACGUUCAAGAAGUUUUGAUUUAUUGCCUUUUGAUCCAAAGAUUGAACGUACUUGUAGAAGGCUUUAUAGAGAAAGGAGAGAAGCUUUACAGGAGCAACAACUAAUUAUGGCUAACGAACCAUUACACGAAAAUGAGGAUGCGAGACCUUUAAGAGACUAUGUUGUUCCUACAGUUAAUGGUGCUCACUCAAGCAUUGCACGCCCUGCUGUUCAAGCCAAUAAUUUUGAAAUCAAGCCAGCCAUAAUCCAGAUGAUUCAGAUGUCAGUACAAUUUGCUGGGAUGCCAAAUGAUGAUCCAAAUGCUCAUAUUGCAAAUUUCUUGGAAAUUUGUGACACAUUUAAGCAAAAUGGUGUUUCAGACAAUACUAUCAGGCUAAGGCUUUUCCCGUUCUCACUAAGGGAUAAAGCAAAAGAGUGGUUGAACUCACUCCCUACUGGAACAAUCAGUACAUAGGAUGGUUUAGCACAGAAGUUUUAACAAAGUACUUUUCUCCAAGAAAAACAGCCAAGUUGAGGAAUAACAUCACAACCUUUGCUCAUUCACCUAUUUCUUUUUUACAGGAACAUAAUGAAGUGACUUUGUUGAUAAGUGGAUUUCAAAAUUAGUUAAAGCUAAAAUUGCUAAAAUUCCCAAUGCAGCAAUUGAAGGUCCACAAGAGCUGCAUGCAAAUCAAAAUACUGUUAUGGGUCCUUAAAAGUCACAUUUAAAUCAAAAUAUCGUUAUUCCUUAUGCGCAUCCGAAUGUCCAUAAGAAUCCUUUCGAAGCAUGGAAUUAUCCAUCAAAAUAAUGGCGUGAUUAAUAGAAAGCCUUUGACCGACCACAAGAGUCCUAUUUCAAGCGAAAUAAAUGAAUCAAAUCGGCCUGGUGAUAGUAGUGCGGUAAUCAAUGAAGAAAUUAACUCACAAGACAAUGAUGCUAUUGAAGACACUGACACUGACAAAUCCACUUCGUUCGAGACGCAGAGACAUGAUUUUGAUGUACAGGGUAGCAAAGAUAAACUACCAGACAUCUCAGACAAAUUGUUUAUUGACUUAAUCAUUCCCGAAUUACGGCAAGCCGAACCAACAGCGACAUCAAAUAUUCAUCCAAUGUUGACACGACUCAAGCUGAAACAUACCCCUCACCUAGCCUUAGGUGCAGAUCAAGAGAUAUACUGAGCAGCUUUAGAAAAUACUAUUUGAGUUUAUGCGGUAAACAGAGAAAUCAAAGCUCUAAAUCAGAAUAAUACUCGGACUUUUGUUCCACGUCCUACAGAUACCAAUGCUAUAGGUUCCAAAUGAGUCUAUACAAUCAAGUACAAGGACUAUGGCACAAUUGAUUGAUUUAAGGCUGGACUUGUUGCCAAAGGUAUAAUCAAGUUCUGGUUUUGACUUUGAAGAAACUUUUAGCCCUAUAAUAAAGCCAACAACUACAAGACUUGUCUUAUCUUUUGGUGUAAGCUCCAAAUGGCUCAUUUAAAAAUUUGAUGUCAAUAAUGCAUUUUUGCAUCAACAACUCAAAGUGGUAGAUAAAGGGCAGCUUCGAAGUUUCGAAAAUUAUUUAUUGCCAUCUCACAUUUGUAAACUCCACAACUGUCUAUAUGGUCUUAAUUAAGCCCCUAUGUCCUGGUUUUUUUUUUUUUUAAAUUUCCUAUGUCCUGGUUUAAAUGCCUCUCCCAUGCUUUUUUAGGCUAGAUUUCAUAACAGCGAAGCAGACACUUCACUUUUUAGUUAUAAUCAUAAUAAUGUUCUUCUUCUAAUACUUAUAUAUGUUGACGAUGAAAUUAUCACAUGCGAUAGUGAGGACGAGAAACAAACUAAAAUCAACCAACUUAGCAGCCAAUUUGUGCUAAAAUGCCUUCGUAUUCUUAGCUAUUUUUUAGGAAUAGAAGUCAAAAAUUUUAAUCAUGGAUUUUCCUAUCUCAUGCAAAAUAUACAAGGGAGUUAUUGCAUUCAGUUUGGUUCGAUUCAGAGAAAAAAAAACCAAAUAGUUCACAAAAUAAAGAAUUGAUUGGUUUUUUUUUGGGUUGGUUCAAAAUCGAACCACACGGAGAACCGACUAGUUCACUGUUUAAAAAUUUUAGCUAGUAUAAAGAAAAAUUAUUAAAAUUCUUAAACCAAACCAAGCCAAACUGGAACAAACCAAAAUAAUUUAACUCCGUUUGAUUCGGUUGUUCAAUUAGGUUCGUAUAUUUAUAAACCAAUGGAUUUUGAUUCGAUUUGGUUCAAGGGUGAAACCGAAUCGAACCGAAGCUGUUAACGCCCACCCCUUGGCUAAACUGUACACCUAUUACAACACCUACAACGGUGAAAACAACAUUAGCUUUGGACAAUCAAGAACCUAUGAUUGCUACAUAAUAUCAAGGCCUAGUAGGCAGAUUGCAGUACCUUACCAAUACGAGACCUAGUAUAUCACAUUCAAUCAAUCGCAUUUGCCAACACUUCCAAAUUUGACAAAGGCGGAUGUUGAUGCCAAAAUCUGGUCGAGCUUAUGAUAGUAACUAGGUUACCUUGUCAACACUUGAAUUUGUUUUGAUAGGGAAUCGGGGAACUGUUAACUUAUGGUAGGCGAUCAUAAGAUCUAUUCCUGGCAUGUCAUCAUGCGACCAGGCAAAUACAUCUGCAUAUGCUUGUAAACAGUAUACCAGCUUUUUCUUUAACCCCUCUUCCAACUUCGACCCAAUCUUGACAAUUUUUUAUGGAUCUUCUUGCUUUAUGCUUACUAUGUCGAUCUCUUCAACCGACUCUUACUUGCCCUUUUUGGCGUCUCCUUGAGCGUCCAAUGAGGUGAUUUUCAUUGUUUCCUUUGCUUCUACUACAUAGCAGCCCCAAACAAUCCUUUGAUCCCCCUUUACAGCAAUUAUGACACCAUUCACCUGAUAUUUAUGAGCCGGGAGAGGCUAUAUGCACUCUAAAAAUUACUUUGAACAUUCUAUUACUAUGUGCACUCAUCUAUUAAUUUUAAAAAAGUGAAUUAUAUUUUGUACACUCUUUAAAAUACCAAAAACGUCCUCACUUAAUUCUUUUUUAAAUUAAUCAUCUUAAUUACUCUACACACAUGAAAAUGCUAUAUACACUCAAACAAAAUAAAUCAAUUAAACAAUAUAUCAUUUGGCCAAAUCAAGGACUCUGUUUGCUCUUGCUUCAAAAAUUCGAAAUUUAAAAUCAUGAAGAGAAGUGAAGAUGAAAUUUUUAAUCGUAAUAGUUGAUUAACCACACUCAGCAAUCAUGGGCAAAACACGUGGUAUGGGAGCUGGCCGCAAACUGAAGUCAAACCGUCAAACUCAAAGGUGGGCUAAUAAAUCAUACAAGUGUCACCUCGGCGACAAAUGGAAUAAACCAUUUGUUGGUUCUUCCCAUGGAAAAAAUAUUUUAAAAAUAUUUUAAAGUAAAUUGUAAAAGAAUACAGACGCAGACAUAAGAUAUUUUAAAACAAAUUGUAAAUACUAUGCCCGUUCAUCAUAACAAAUUGUAGAGUAAUUUAAAGCAAUGAUCGCUGCCUGUUCAUCAAAAGAAUACAGAUGCCACAUACACAUGAGAACACACUCCUCAAUUAGAAAUUAAAAAUCUAUUCUAUGUAGUUUCAAGACCCACAAAUGAGACACAUGCUAGCCAUUAUGUUAUGCUUCAAAAUUGAAAUUCAAUACUUGAAUUCAGGACCCUUCAAACGAGAGACAUGCUAGCCAUAAUGUUGUACUUCAAAACUAAAUUUCAAUACUUGAGUACAAAGACACAUGCUAGCCAUAACAUUAUGCUUAAAACUGAAUUUCAAUACUUGAACAUCCUGUUAUCUUCAACUCCACCAAAUUUAGAGGGCAAUCAAUUCAACUACCUAACCAUCUGGAAGGGAAAAAACAAGAAAGAUUAUUUGUGUUGUAAAUUAGAAAAUUAGGAUCACACAUGCCUCAUUAAAGUUAAAAUCUUCACAUAUUGAGUUUCCUUUGUAACUAUUUAUUCGAGAUAUUUGAAAGAAAAAAAUUAAGAUUUAAAAUAGUAAGGAAAUUAAACAUUAAUUGCAGUGCCUUAAAUGAGCAUUCAAAGUAAUAAUAUUAUAUAUACUCAUAAUAAAGUGUCCUUAAUAGUAUUUUAUAUUAUGGGUAUUUUUGUAAUGAAAAUAUUUAUAAAAAUAUGAGUGUUUAGAGAAAUUUUUAGAGUGCGUAUAGCCCCACCCUUAAGAGCCAUGUAAUAAUUGGAUAUUACUGCUUUACUAAUUCUCAAGAAAGGUCUGCCCAAGAUUAUUUGAUAUGAGCUGUCUUCAUCAACUACCACGAAAUCUAAUAUCAUGGUCUUCUAGAAUGAAAUGGAGUUUAUUGUUACAGGCAAUUUGAACACACCAAGAGGAGUCAACUUUCCCCCAUCAAACCCCUUCAAUGUGCUAGUAUUCUUCAGUUUUAAAUUCGUAAUUCCCAUUUCAUCCAAGAUCGAUUUAAAUAAGAUGUCUACUAAGCUCUCAGUAUCCACAAGUAUCUGGUCGAACGUUUUGCUCGCACUGGACGAGCACCAUCAAUGAAACUAUCCAAAUAAUGAUUCCUUACUAAGUCCUCAACCUAGUUCUUGAGGUCUCGACAACACAUUGUUACAUGACCAUAGGUGUUAUGAAAUUCAUAGAAUUUGCUCAUGUCUCGCUUAUUGGCCGCUUUUGCUAUUGGGGAUGGGGGAUAUAACAAGCCAUGGUCUUUAAUCGUGUGAUAUAGUUCUUCCAAAGGGAUUGUCAAAAGAGUAUAUUGUUUGUACGUCGGGCUUUGGUCGAUUAUCUACAUAGCCUUGUCCCUAGGGAACCCUCUAUGCAUGUGGCUAGGUGGUGGGGUGAUGGUUGUCAAAGUCAGCAAAAAUAAAUACAUACUCUAAAUAAAUUGUGUAUAAUGAUUGAGAAGGGUCAUGUCCACAGAGAUCGGUAAUUAUUUAAAUCCUUUUAAAACGUAAAACAUAAAAUGGGGGUUUUGUUGACAAUAAUAAAAAUCAAAUUAAAAUAACAAGAAUGCAAAUUAAAGUUGUAAUUCAAAUUGGAGAAAGCUCUGGUUGAAGGAAUUAACUCAGCUUGAUUUAACUACUGAUCAUUGAUUCAAAUAUAAAUUAUUACUACUUAUGAAUAGACCGGUUAUAGCUACUGAGACCCUCUAAUAGCCAAUCUCUCCUUAACUAGUCGAUAACCAAGGUACGACCGUUGGUUAUUUCCCUAAUCAAUAGACAACCCUGGAUACGAUCAUAUGAUUUAAUCAAUUGACAGCCUGAAAAACCAGAGAGACCCAAAUCCUAAUCAACAAACGCAUACGAUGGUUCAUUUAAAUUAGAUUGUUUAUUCUCAUAACAUAACUCACUGCUAUGUUAUUUGUCACAAACAUUAAAAUCUUCAUACGAUGAAUCCUUUAAUUGACAAUAGAUUAAAUUGAUAAUUAAAUAGUGGCCAGUUAUCUAAUUAACAAACAUAAUUAUGAAAAUAAUUCAGAGAAUAAACAAAUACCCAAAAAGUAAUAAAACAAUUAAAGCAUAAGAAAGAUCUCACAGUAGUGAUGAAUCAAAGCUUCAUUAACCUUCAACCAGAAAAAUAGGUUUAGUUCUUCAUAGAGAGAAGAGAAAAGUUUAGAUCCAGGGUUUCUUUCUUUUUCCAAUCUCCCCUUUUUCACAAUAGAUUCCUCCCUUAAAUACUCUCUCUCUCUUCUCCUCUAGAGUUCUUUUUAAAAUGAAAUUCUAAUAUCUGAAAUAUUAAAUUCGUAAUUACAAAAAUAACCAAAAAUACAAAACACGUUAAACUAAAAACUGCAGGUCCGUAGUUGAUAGCACGCGCCCACGCCUUAUCAACAAAGUUCUUCUGACGCUCAUAAUUUCUCCAAGAGAACAAUCAUCCUUAAACAUCAUCUUGUAGCUCAAUUUUAUCACCAAUCAAUAGAAUUGCACCUACAAAAGUAAAACACAAGUAAAUCACUAUUAUUAAGUGCAAAACAUCGAUAUUAAGGGAAGUAAACAAUGCAAAACUAGUGUAUAAAUUGCACUCUAAUAUGGGGAGUCUGGUUUGUUGAAUAUGGUAUCUAGUAGGUAACAGGCUAUCGGAGCAUUAUACCGAGGGUGCUUAUGCGGUUGGUUGGGUUCCCCUAAGUGAUUGCUACCGGAAGAGCGAAGAGUUGGCCGUGCUAGAAUUGAGUUGGCCUCGGACGAGGCUGGUAAGGGAGUGCUUAACCACUUACUCCUCCACUUAAGGAUGGUUUGUUGCUUUGGUUAAUAGGCCUGCCCACUUUUUGGACUUUUUUCUUCAAAUUCCCGAGCUGUUCAACCCUUAAUCUCACUGCCUUUUGUUCCUCGAUUUCAAUGUCUCUUUUUGCCUGCUCGUAUGCUGCAGAGUAUGAUUGUAUGGCUAGAUUUCUUAAGUUAUACUAGAGCCACUCUAUCUUUACCCCUUCUUUAAGCCCUUUCAAAGCCUGUGGAUGGUUAAAGGACCUAAGGUCAAGAACAAUAUAAUGAUACUUGUUCAAGAACUUCUUGAGGGUAUCAUUUUCUCUCUGUUUGAUUCCUAAAAACUUUAUCAUAUCGUCUUCUGGAGCUACUGCCUUGUGAAAUUGUUCUGGAAAUUCUCGGCACAUCUACUCAAAGCUUCUAAUACUACCUCGAGGUAAUUUUCGGUACCACCCGUGCACACGCCCUUCCAAAGUUAUUGGAAAUACUCUACACCUCUAGGCCUGUGUUAAACCUUGUACCCCCGUCAUAUCAUUAAAACACUCAAUAUAAACUAAAGGAUCACUCUUCUCAAAAUACUUGAGGUCAGGGAACCAGAAAUCUCGUGGAAUUAUUGUGCUCAUGAUUUCUUUUGAAAUAAGUGAUUUACUAUCUAGCAUAAUUCUCCAACUUAGUGUCUUCCAUCGCCCUUGCAGCUCUUCAUUCACCUGAGCUAAUCUGGGCACCUCACCCUCCAGCUCCAUAACACGUUCUGGGUUUCGUGUUGCGACUUAAUCACGUUCUCACCCUAUAUCAUUUAGGUGUUGUCUCAAUUCUCUUUCUCGAGCACUUGUUCCUCCUCUGUGUUUAAUUGGCCCUGAUUCUCUCUUAGCUAAUCUUUCACUCGAAUACUCUGAUCAUUACAGAGCCGAACCCCUUCGUAACGGCUCUGUUCACCUUGGGUAACUCCAUUACUAGGGCCAGAGACAUUGGGGUUUUCCACCUGGGAUUUCUCCCAUGUGCCCUUCUCUUAAUUCUUGAAGGACAGCAGUGAAGGCCUCCAUCUGUUUCUCCAUUUGCUCCACUUGCUCGUACAUCAACCUCUCUCUUUCUUCAUUUGCCGUCUCUCGAGAAACAACAGGAUCAAUUACUCUAGAAUCAGUUCCACGGGCUCUAUUUCCUCUUGGAUUUGUUUUGCUUGUCGUGUUGUCAAUUUAUUUGGCUGGUAGCAGCUUUUGGUAAGCUCCCCACUGUUGAUGUUGAAAUUUGGUCGAGCUUAUGACAGCGACUAGGUUCCCUCGUCAACACUUGAAAAUUUUUUUUUAUGAGGAACUGUUAACUGCUAUUCUGAUGGGAUUGGAAUUGUCACCUUGCUUCGUUAUUCCCUGCGACAAUAGAGAACUGUCAUGGGGCGUCAGAUAUUUUUUGGAAAAAACCCUCCGACGCUCAAGUCAGUAAUCGAUUUUCUUGUAAGGAACUAAUGUCACUUCUCUUGUGAUCUUAAUUACUUUUUUUUUUUUUUU